AAAAAUCGAAGUGGGGAGACGGAGCCACUGCGAAUAACUCGGAAUUUUUCAAUCCCUGCAAUAGAUUCGUGAAGUCGUGGCCGAGCUUCUCUUCAAAACGUCCCCUUGUUUUCUUGGGUUUUGUGUUACCAAAUUUAUUGUCCUCCUGAACCGAUCAGCACAUAAUGUCAAAUUGCGAAUCAGAACUUGGGGCACCAUCUCUAUACCUUGUCUCCAGCUAUGCGUUGGAGGCCGCACAAGUUUUGGCAUGCGUUCAGAAGAUACCCCAAGUGAUGUCACAUGUAGAAGUUUACUCUUAGCUGUCGAUGUAGGACUGCGAAAUUUAAUCUAACCCUAAUUCCAUUUCUAUCUUGAGAUUUACGUAGUAUGUGUGUGCAACCCUCCUCCUCCUGAUUAUUAAUUAGAACCAAGUAUGGCGCAAGGCGCAGGGCGCUAUACUACCACUGGCUUGAACUUGGAUAUAGAACACAGAUUAGAUGAAGGACUCGUUCCAUUUCUACCUGAUGACAUGGCUCUGCAGUGCCUGCUCCGAGUUCCAGUCCAAUCCCACUCUCGGCUGCAGAACGUUUGUCGAAAAUGGCGAGAUCUGGUAAACAGCAGAAAAUUUUACGAGCACCGGAAGAAGGAGGGAACUACACGACAAUGCGUCU
rnacentral:lncRNA from 1 species